CUGUGGAGCGGGGAGCGCCUACUAUCCUGAGGGAAACUUCGGAGGGAAACAGCUACUAGAUGGUUCGAUUAGUCUUUCGCCCCUAUACCCAGGUCGGACGACCAAUUUGCAUGUCA